rnacentral:rRNA from 1 species
GCUAAACGCGAAGAACCUUACCCAGACUUGACAUGCACUAGACCGCUUCAGAAAUGAAGCUUCCCUUCGGGGCUGGUGCACAGGUGCUGCAUGGCUGUCGUCAGCUCGUGCCGUGAGGUGUUGGGUUAAGUCCCGCAACGAGCGCAACCCUUAUCCUUAGUUGCCAUCAUUAAGUUGGGAACUCUAAGGAGACCGCCGGUGACAAACCGGAGGAAGGUGGGGAUGACGUCAAGUCAUCAUGGCCUUUAUGGCCAGGGCUACACACGUGCUACAAUGGCAAGUACAGAGGGAAGCCAACCGGCGACGGGGAGCUAAUCCCAGAAAACUUGUCUUAGUCCGGAUUGGAGUCUGCAACUCGACUCCAUGAAGUUGGAAUCGCUAGUAAUCGCAGAUCAGCAUUGCUGCGGUGAAUGCGUUCCCGGGUCUUGUACACACCG